rnacentral:lncRNA from 13 species
AAGCGAGUGGACAGAGAAAUACAGCUUCACUCUAUCCAAUCAGAGCAGCAGGAUCAACGUACAGCCCGCCUUUCUCUUUACAGACAGGCUAACUAGCCAGUUUAGUUAUUUAGACCACGUAGUACCUCACUUGACAUGAGAAAGAUGCAGGGUUUUUCCCAGUCACAGGUAACUACAAAAAAAAAUACUCUGAUCAUAAUUGGAACCAGAAAAUUGCCCAUUUCCGUUACGAUACUCUUUUUGUCCGACUUGGCAUACCUCUAACACACACACACGAGCACGCACACACACAGGCGAACACAUGCCCAAACACUUUCUUUGUGUCUAUCUGAGAGUGAAGGCAGCCCUGACUCAGUCCACCUCACAUGCCGAGAGAUACAGAGCAGCCUUUCCUUGUCUCCUCAGCUGAUUAGCAGGGUGGUAAAUCAGUUACAGUGAUCAUCAGUUUCUCCCUGGCUGGUUUCACUGGGAUUCACGUUCAUAACUCUCUCUUUGUUAGCAAGCAGCUCUGCCUCCGGCCCUGCGGCUAAUCCUAAAAUGAACUUUCUAUCACCUCCCUAACACACUGCCAGGGGGAAGAAAGAGGAUAUAGAGGAACGUUGGCUGAACUGAGAUGAGCUCCUCAAUCCGCCUUGCCUAACAACUCAAACUGAAUUCUUCCUCUGCUUUAGGUUCGCGCCAUACUGCAUACCAUCGAAGUCGUUUGUGGUGAAGGCAAAAUGAGGGGUGUUGUACAAAACAAAGUCAUCAGCGACUGGAUCAUCUCUAACCAAUCAGAGUAUCAAAGCCAAUGCCGAAUUUUCAAAAUGCUGCUUUAGCCAACCCUGUUCUGGCUCUGGCCCAACCAACUGGUUUGUGGAACCAAUCAGAACGAAUGGAUAUGUCCAAAUGGCACCGCCCUAUUUCUCUAUGCAGUGCACUACUUUUGACCAAGGCCCAUAACGUUUUGGUCAAAAGUAGUGUACUACAUACCGGAUAGGGUGCCAUUUGGGAUGCAGAUAUUUCCUGGUGAAGAGGGUUGAUCAUCAAUACUCUGAUUGGGACUGGAGGCAGCAGCAGCCUUGUGGUAAUCAACAAUGAGGGCCCUUCAGCUACACAUGUGUGCUGUUCUGUAUUGUGGUUUUGCCAAGAUGUAUGAUCAUACAUGCAUGACUGGAGAACAAGCCAUGUGACACACACGGCUGCAGUUUCAUUUUGAAUAAUGAUUUGAAUAAACAAUCUUAGGAAAGGUGUCGGAACGUCCUUAACAAUUGGAAGUGGUAUAAUGUAUUGUUUGUUAUUUGGUUAGAGUAUGUGUGUGUUUGUACCCAUGGUAGUGCCUGUCUGUGUGUGUGUGUGUGUGUGUGUGUGUGUGUGUGUGUGUGUGUGUGUGUGUGUG